rnacentral:rRNA from 1 species
ACGUAGGAGACGAACGUUAUCCGGAGUUACUGGGCGUAAAGGGCGUGUAGGCGGUAUGUUAAGUCUGGCGUGAAAGCUCUCGGCUAAACCGGGAGAGGUCGUUGGAUACUGACACACUAGAGGAUGGUAGAGGCGUGUGGAAUUCCGGGUGUAGUGGUGAAAUGCGUAGAGAUCCGGAGGAACACCAGUGGCGAAGGCGACACGCUGGGCCAUACCUGACGCUAAAGCGCGACAGCAUGGGGAGCAAACGGG